rfam:Kurthia sp. 11kri321, complete genome.
ACGAUGUUCCGCUGUAGCAACCAAGAGCGAUCUAUAAGAGCAUCUG